rnacentral:rRNA from 1 species
AACGAACGCUGGCGGCCGGCUUAACACAUGCAAGUCGAACGCCCCGCAAGGGGAGUGGCAGACGGGUGAGUAACGCGUGGGAAUCUACCUAGUUCUACGGAACAACUGAGGGAAACUUCAGCUAAUACCGUAUACGCCCUACGGGGGAAAGAUUUAUCGGAAUUAGAUGAGCCCGCGUAAGAUUAGCUAGUUGGUGCGGUAAUGGCUCACCCAGGCGACGCUCUUUAGCUGGUCUGAGAGGAUGAUCAGCCAAACUGGGACUGAGACACGGCCUAGACUCCUACGGGAGGCAGCAGAGGGGAAUAUGGGACAAUGGGCGCAAGCCUGAUCCAGCCAUGCCGCGUGAGUAAUGAAGGCCUUACGGUUGUAAAGCUCUUUCAGUGGGGAAGAGAAUGACGGUACCCACAGAAGAAGCCCCGGCUAACUUCGUGCCAGCCGCCGCGGUAAUAC